GCUGUCACAACCAGGCAAUAACUUGCCUCCAUCCCCCCCACCUUCCCUUGCACGGAGCAGGGAAGGACACUGAUGGGGAAACAAGGGGAACGGAGGGGAAGGAUGACACAUGUUCAGCCUAACCCACUGUCAUAGCAGCCGGGGAGGCAGAGCCAAUGGCUGCUUUUCAUGCUCAGCGAGUCCGUCCACCUCCACCCCCCUCGAGUCCUUAAGUUGCAGCUUUUAGCUACCUCGGUGUUCAAAGAAAAUAUGAUGCUCAGCGUGAACAGAAGGAAGAGCCUGCUGACAGGUAGACAGCAUGGACACUGAUCCUGGCAGGGCUGGCUGCUGAGAGAGCUUUUACCCUUUAGGAUUCAUGUUUUCAAGCCUUUAUCAACCUACAUAGUUGGAAAUGCUAAAGCAUUUUUAUAAAAGCACUGAGAAUCCUCCAGAAUCGAGGGCUGUGUGAAGAAAAAAACAUCUACUGCCUGUAGUGCACGAGAUAUGAUCUCGGGCACGGCCAGCGCCCUUUGCAAAGUAACCGUCUUCUACUAAAUCUUCAGGAACCUGAGGAGCCUUGUUGCUAUCUUCACUCCAAAUCCUAUUGCUUCACAGAUCUGAAGUUCAGGAGGGAUCAUCCAGUCUGAUCCAACGGGGGAGCGUCGCCUGGCAGCUCCCUCAUCAAGGGCAGACACUUCUAGUUGAGCUGCAGCAGGUCUCUCAGAAAAAUACCCCAUCACGGUGUAAAGACUUCCAGGGAUGCAGGAUUCCCGUGAUUAAUCGCUGCCUGUCUUUGAAAACUUUGAGCCUGUCCAACGUGUCAUGGGGCAGGAUGUAUGGCGUUCUCAUCGAUCCCUGCUCACUGUCCAGUCAGGUUCUUCGAGGUGAUAAAUAAACUCUUGUAAAAAUUAAGGAGGAAAUUGUCCUUUAGCAAACACAUGGCACAAUUCCAGCUUCCAUGAGUCCACUUGAAUACUCAUGGCAGAGCGAUUAUUCUUUUUCUUGGCUCCAGGAGCUAGUUUCGUAAAUGGAGCGAUCUCCACCGUGGGUGAGCGCGGAGGGCUGACCAGGCUGUUGGGGAGCCAGGCUGGGGGGAGGAAAACCCUGGGGCCCUGUCAUUUUGAAGAAGAUACAUCUAGAAGCAGGGCACCCCAAGUACCCUGCGUGGCUAAUAUUGGGUGCGAGCAUGGUAGUUGCAAUGAUAAAUCUUUUCAAGGUCUGUGGAAAGGCCCUUCUGCUUUUGGGGUGGCAUCUGGGGAAUGGCCUUUGGGGCCGGUGCGGGGAAGCCCCGAAUCGCCCUGUGAAGGUGCAGGGCAACAGCGAGGCAGAUGUGGAGGAUUUGACCCUCCCCGAGCUACCAGGGAGCCUGUGCUGGGCCGAGAGGAGCGCAUCCUCGUGUUCUGCAGACACAUUUUCCUCCUGCUCCCAGCCCGGGCACCUCGGUUUAGCAUCUGGCAAACUCGCUGCCGCGGGCAGAGCGCGCAUCGACGCCGCGGCGGGCCAGGCUGGCAGCUCCUGGGAGCUCGGCCCCGCCAGCAGCCUCUCUUGGUGAGAGCUCGCUCGCAAAGAAAAAAUACGGAAGCAAAUCUUACAUGACACAUUUAUUUUUGUCGUCUGUUUAUUAGCUCAGAGCAAAAGUCCUGCUGCGCUGCAUUGUGGGGAUUAUGCAAAUGUGGGACAUCAAGACAAUUAAAAAAAAAAGCCCAAGUGAGCACAAUGUCACAGGCGAGCAGAGGCUCAGAGGCAGCACAGCUCUCCCUCGCUCCUGCACCCUCGCCCGGCGCGGGACACCCAGCGCCAGCCCAGCGCAUCGCCUGGUCCAGCACGUCCUCCUCCGGCUCAGAGCUCUCAUUGCUCUUGUCCAGACCGCCGGAGGGGCCGGCAGGGUCUCGCCAUGGCCCUUCUCCAGCUAAAACCGCUGGUGGACUGGACGGUCGCUGGCACCGGAGCAGGCUCUGGCUCUUUUUAUGGGUCUGAAGCCUGGCUAAAUCCCCACUGAAUCAUCCGCUGUCGCGCUGACAGUUCAGGAUUUACGAGAGCUAAAGUGAAGGGAUAGCAAUGAGCCAAAAAAAAAAAAAAAAAAAGUCCCAAAUUCGACUUAUCUCUGCUUUUGCAAGCCCCAGAGGAUGUGUGUCUGCAGAGAUAAUCCUGGCUGAACCCCUCUGUUCUGAGAUAGGAUCAAGGGAGAGCUCUGGUUGGGCGCUAAGGAAGCUGGAGUGUGUGUCAGCAGCUGCAUCCAGGGGCAGCUGGAGCCCCGGCAGCUCCUGGGAGCAGAAAAAUGCUGUUUCCCGAAAGCGUGUGGCAGCGACCGCGCAGAGCGGCAUUCGGGGAGACAACGAGAGACACUGAGAACAGCAGGGACACUCGCUCGCGUCCUCACCCUGCUGACCGCGCUCAUUAGAGCAGGAAUGCUGCCUCCGAAUUUCAGCUAUUCCAGCUAUUUUUAAUUUCCCUGCCUGCUGAAAGCACACAUUGGUGCACCCGGGUAUUUUUUUUUUUUUGCCCUGGUGAUUGAUACUUCCCCUCCUAGGUCAGGAUCUCUUUUGUGUCUGUCUCGAGAAGGAGGGACGAGGACAAAGCGAAAGAGGGAGAAAGGGCGAGCGCGGAGGGCGGGCGGCCUCGUCGCCCGGCGCCGGGCUCUGCCGCGCACGGAUGCAGAAGCAGCGCGGAUGCGGGAGCGAGCGCUGCCGGCGGGGAGGGCGCGGGAGGCGGCGGAUGAUUUAUGCGCUAACCUCGCGUCGGGGUUGCGGGCUGCCUUCCCCAGCUGGCGCGGGAGGGAGCCGUCCUGGCGUCGCCCCUUCCACCCGCCUCCCGCCCGCCCCGCCGCCGCACACGUCCGUGCGAUCCCCGCGCAAUUAGGAAGACACCUCUUCGGCUCCGCUCUCGGCGCUGGGCUUUUGUUCCUCCCCGGCUCGGCUGGCAAAGCUCGGCCCCUCUGCGCGGCGGCGUUCGGCGCUCGCUGGGUUGUUAAGUUGCUUUUCAUAAUCUCUUCCAAAGAAUUCCAGUCCCGCUGGAGUCCCGAAAUUGAGGCGGCAGGGAGGAGAGAGGAAAAAAAAAAAAGGAGGAAAAAGUAAGACGGCGUUUUUCUCUUUCUUUCUUUGUCUGGAGUCUUGCCUGGCGGAGCUGUGUGUGCGUGCGAGCGAGCCGGGGAAGAGCAGUGCAUGCACACAUGCACACGCGGUAGGCGAUGGGCGUUCGUGAGGAACACAGGCAAAACGCACCCGCACCUGCAUUCAUCCUCGCGUGUGCGUGUGUGUUAGCUGUGCAGCUCACCCCGUGUCCUUAAACUGCGGAUAAUGUCCGUGUAGGAGCACAUCCAAAGAAAUUCAAGCUCCUUAUCUGCUUUUUUAUUGUACAAUUGAAAAUGUGUUAUGUAUCUGUAUACGAAUAUAUAGACCUGUAUGUAUUCA